AUUGAACGCUGGCGGCAGGCCUAACACAUGCAAGUCGAACGGUAACAGGAAGAAGCUUGCUUCUUUGCUGACGAGUGGCGGACGGGUGAGUAAUGUCUGGGAAACUGCCUGAUGGAGGGGGAUAACUACUGGAAACGGUAGCUAAUACCGCAUAACGUCGCAAGACCAAAGAGGGGGACCUUCGGGCCUCUUGCCAUCGGAUGUGCCCAGAUGGGAUUAGCUAGUAGGUGGGGUAACGGCUCACCUAGGCGACGAUCCCUAGCUGGUCUGAGAGGAUGACCAGCCACACUGGAACUGAGACACGGUCCAGACUCCUACGGGAGGCAUCAGUGGGGAAUAUUGCACAAUGGGCGCAAGCCUGAUGCAGCCAUGCCGCGUGUAUGAAGAAGGCCUUCGGGUUGUAAAGUACUUUCAGCGGGGAGGAAGGGAGUAAAGUUAAUACCUUUGCUCAUUGACGUUACCCGCAGAAGAAGCACCGGCUAACUCCGUG
rnacentral:rRNA from 1 species